CGCCUACGGGAGGCAGCAGUGAGGAAUAUUGGUCAAUGGGCGGGAGCCUGAACCAGCCAAGUCGCGUGAGGGAAGACGGUCCUAUGGAUUGUAAACCUCUUUAGGCGGGGAGCAAUGCCGGGCACGUGUGCCCGGAGGGAGAGUACCCGCAGAAUAAGCAUCGGCUAACUCCGUGCCAGCAGCCGCGGUAAUACGGAGGAUGCGAGCGUUAUCCGGAUUUAUUGGGUUUAAAGGGUGCGUAGGCGGAUUUUUAAGUCAGCGGUAAAAUCGCGGGGCUCAACCUCGCUCCGCCGUUGAAACUGGCG
rnacentral:rRNA from 1 species